AGCCAGAGUAUGAUAUUUAGUACGUCGAAUUUAGGUUUCGAAAGAAAUUAAAAUUUAUCUGGUUU
rnacentral:tRNA from 1 species